UGCUGUACAAUAUUCCAUUGUCUGGAUGUGUCAAAGAUUAUUUAUCCAUUUACCUACUGAAGGACAUCUUGGUUGCUUCUAAGUUUUGGGAAUUAUUGAUAAAGCUGCUAUAAAUAUCCACAUGCAGGCUUCAGUGUGGACAUAAAUAUUCAGUUGCUUUGGGUAAACACCAAGGAACAUGAUUGCAGGAUCAUAUGUUCUGCAGUCUUCGCCAUUUAGGCCUUCCACAGUUCUUGUCAGGUGGCAGACGGUGGAGCAGGAGCUUGGAGCAUCUCAGGAGCCCCUGCAUCUUUUGCAUCAGUCCUCUUCCGCAUAGAUUUUGAGGUGUGCCUCCUUCUGCCUUUCAUAUUUCAGGAAUUUUUUAGUCUCCGGUCUACUAAGAACCCUUUCUUUUGUUCCAGCAAAAAAUAUUUCUUGUCAUGUCUAGGAAUUUAG
rnacentral:lncRNA from 1 species